rnacentral:tRNA from 1 species
AUUUAAGUAGCCUAUAGAAUAGGGCGUGACAUUGAAGAUGUUCAGGAGGUAAAGAUACCCUUAAAUA